GAGGGUAUAGCUCAAGUGGUAGAGCGCAUGCUUAGCAUGCACAAGGCCCUGGGUUCAAUCCCCAGUUCCUCCU
rnacentral:tRNA from 1 species